AUUCUCUAGGUGAAGCAUCAGGAUGUGCAGGCCAAGCUGAUGGAAGAGAUUGAUCGGGUUGUGGGGGAUGGACGAGAAGACAUUGAAGAGGAGGAUUUGAAAAGAUUAUUAUGUGUGUGAAUCAUUCUAUUGUCUUUUUCUUCUAUUUAUGUAAUUAUCUGGCAUAUAAUACAAGUAGAUUACAUACC